UGAUAAUAAUAAUAACAUCAUAAGACUUACCUUUAUAUAAUGAUUCCAAAAAGAAACACUAAGCACUAAUACUCAAGCUCAAAUAAUAUUUCACCACCUCUAUCACAAUGCAUCAAAAUAGUGGUCUGGUCCGCCAAUUAUAUUAUCAUAAAGUCAACAAAACUGUAUGUGACAAGGAUAUGUACUGAAAAGAACAGAAAAGUAAUUAUCGUUAAUUAUGUAACUGAACAUAAAUAUGAUGAAUAAAAACAUUCAAGAACUUAAUGGUAAAUUACACUGUCUUUUUAUUUGAAUCAAGAAAAAAAACAAUAGACCUAUCAAUUCUGUUACAAUUCCAACAAGUGAAUGAUUAAAUACAGAGAACAGUAUACAAAAAAGAAGAAAGAAAAAAAACACCAUGGACUAUGGAUCAAUUGGAAAAAAAGAGAUACAGUAUAUUAGUUUUUCUGCUCUUGGACAGCAGAAGUGUCUGAGAGUAAACAGUACUUUCAGUAAGGGUGUAACUCCUCUGGCUUUUUUUACUCAGUUCAUGUAAUAAUGUUCAAAUGUCAGCCAAAGGUGAGGUAAAAGGUCUGACCUACUAAUCUGAGCAUGGAGAGUUAAAGAGAAAGGAGAGAAUCGCCACAAGCCAUCAUCUACCAAGCAACCCCACUUUCUUCCCCUUUACUUCGAAUCGUCCCGCAGGUAUGUAGUGGCUCUCUUCAGAAGACAUAUUACCUGACCAAGUUGCUUCGUCAGGACUGGAACUAGAAACAGAGCCAUCUAGAACUUUUGGCCCAACUCUGGGAGAACUUCUGUUCGCCCUGACAUCCCUUUCACAACGUAAGCUCUCUCGUAGCAAUGCCCCUUUUGUCUGGGACUGAACUAUCGAAGGCCUUAACGCUGGAGUAUGUUGACUGACAUUUUCAUUAGGUAUAACUUCCAACUCUGAAUCACUGUCAGAGUCGAUGGCAAUGGGUUCUGAGGAGGAUCCAGGGCAUGUCUUGAAGGCACAGUUGCUUUGACUACUUUGUCCAGUGUUUAAUGGCUGCUUUGACCCUAUGAAGUCUGCUGGGAAACCAAUGGGAGACUUGAGCCUAAACGAUGAGGUCCUUGAGUAUCCACUUUUUUCAUCAUCAAAGACUUCAAACAGACAGCUGUCAUCAAAGCUCAUGUCAUGCUUGAUUUGGCUCAACAACCGCAUGUUAAAGCCCAGUAACACCACUGGUUUGCGGGAGGUAAAGUCCCGGUCACAUAAGCGGCGAUGGUUGCCAAAAUGGCUUGCAACAUCAGACUUCCACAACCAGAGGCUUGCAGCAAGUUUCUCAACCUCCCGUUGGGAGGGGUAGGGAUGUCGAUUGAAAUAUGCGGUGAGGAAAGCUUUACGCACUUCGUAGGAUUUGUCACCAUAACCUUUUGGAUCCAAGGCCAACACGAUUGGCUCUUCUGGCUUCUCAGCGAAGCCUGUAGGGUAAAACCUAGACUGGUCUACCAUCUUUCUUCUCUUUGGGUCAGAUGGAUCAGGGGUAACUAACUCGCGCUUCAGAGACCCAGCUCCAGGGGACCGCAGCCCAGUCGUGAUGGGCUUGGAGCCUUUGGGAGUCUGGCAAACACCCCGGCAGUGCACCAAAUGGAGAGUAAUGGUGGAAGCUGUCAUGUUGCUUGUGUACACACCCAGGCAGUGGAUGCACUUGUAGGUUAACUUUUUCUCUACAGGGUGCAAAGUUUGGAGAACCUGGUGACUAUCGCGUAAAUGAUGGGCAAGGGCAUCUGAGAUGGGCCCUUUUAGAAUAGUGAAGCACAGUGGGCAGAGUGUUUUUCCAACCUCUUUCUUUUGUGACACCGGUGACUGUGACAUGUUUCGCACCAAUGAAUCGCUUUGGGUAUCCGGCUGUCUUACAGACACCUUCACAGGUUUGGGCAUGGCGCUGUUUUGUGACAGUUGAUUGGCAGCUGCGGCAGCAGCGGCAGCUUCAGGUGUCUCCUUCAUAUUGUAGGUGGUUACUAAAAGCUGGACAUUUUUGAGAUUUCCUUGCUGAAGUGUGAGAUCGAAUGUUAGAGGAGAACCAGUUGGCUGAUCCCCUUGCUCAUUGGGGUGCGCCAGGCGAUUGUGUGCUACAAUUUUCUCAACCUCAUGAAAUGUGGAAUGACAAUGUGGGCAUGAUAGCCCAUGCACUAGCAUAUGGUUCAACAAAGAGUCACUUGGAAGGUAACGGUUACAGUACAGACACUUGCUUGUGAAAUUGUGUAUCUUCAUGAUGUAUUUAGCCAUCGCCCUCACCUUCUCUGCCUGAUGUUCCUUUUCAAAGUGAGCACUAUAUGCACUUUCGGGGAAUAGUUCAUUGCAGAUGGUACAGAUCUUCCACUUUUGUGUUUGUGAGGUGUUCAGAGCAUUGGCUGAAGCUUUCUUGGCCUGCAGUGAUGUCAAUGUGGCAGUAGCAGCAUGCACUGAUGAAGAAAGAGGUAGACUCUUCAGUGAGGGGGAGAAAGAAGCUGACUGAGCAUUAAGAUGUGCAGCACCAUGGACUCCAAAGCCGCCCAGGUGUUUUCCAGAGUGUGAAUGAGAGACUGCACUAGACACAAAAGCUUUAUCAGGUAGUGUAACGCGCACUGGCUGACCAGGCACAGAGUUGCCAGCAAGGCUUUGCUUAAAAUGGUUUCCAACAGGUAACCCCACCACUUUGGGCAUACUGAAGCGAUUCAUUUGAGGUGUUUGUGGACGCACGCCAGAAGUGAUAGGAACACCCCUUUGGAUUGGAUUCGUCUGGAGCCUCGGCACUAUGACAUUUGUGUGCCCGAUCAUAGCAGUGACUUGAUGGCCAAUGCGCUCAUGGAAUUCAAUGACGUGCUGCACCAGUGCUUCAUAAGAACGAGGUGUAAAGUGGCAGCUCUUGCAGUGAAUCCCAUGACUGUUGGCUUGGGCCUCUCCACUGUUUACUUGCUUCUCUGAGUUUUUUCCCAGGUAAGGUGUUGCCACGUGCUGGAAGUGUUCCCUGUAGAUGUGCCGGCGCACCACGUUGUACAGUCUAUCUCGAUAGGUGCACUUCUUGCAGUAGUACACCGGGAGCUCCUUUCGAUCACCCAGCAUGGGUUUGUCCACCCGCAUGCCAUCUUUAGCCCCUACUGGAGCUCCAUGAGGGCCAACGACACCCUGACGCAUCACAUUGUGAGGCAUAUGGAAGAGCCUGACGUGGGUUUCCAGAGUCCUCUUGUUCCCACUGUAUGUGCAAUAGGAGCAGUUAAGAAGUAUUCUGCUUUCAAAAUCUUCCCUGUGAACAUUGCGGAAGUGGUUUUUGUAGGCUGAAAAAUAUUUGGAGGCAAACGGGCAAUCUGAGCAGCAAAACUGCUUUGUUCUGUAGUCCUGCAACAUUUGAGAAACCAAGCAAAAUGUUAAUGCGGUGUAGGUUAUUUUUGCUUUGCUUUGCUUUGCUUUUCUGUUGCGGCGGAUGUGGCUGACAUACCUGAGACUUUGUCCAAGUUGGAUCCCAUGUACAAAGGUCAAGGUGAGACUCAUUCGAGUCAUCAGAAUCAUCGGGGUCUACGUCUUUGUAGUCCUACAGAGGAAAUGGACAGAAAAUAGCAUCAAUAAAGCUCAAGUGAUCAAUUAGUGUGAUGUCUCAGGUUUUUUUUUGUUUUUUUUUAUGUUCAAUUUGUCUGAGGGAAAAACAACAACAAAUAAAACACUGUUCAAAAGCAAUCACCUCCACAUGCUCUUUGCAGUAGUCAAGGCCAAUGUCACUCAGCAGUCUCUUGACUUUCUUCCUGGCCUUCCUCAACCGGGUGAGGUUAUUCACUGGAAGCUGAAACAUCUCUUCUAUGAAAAACCAUUAGGAAUAAGGAUUUUAGGUGAGCUGUCAGUUGUUGAAAAGGUGCACUCUGCAAUUUCAAUUGUUAUUGUGCAGACCAGUUGCACUUAAUGGUAUGAACGCAACAAAAACAUUUUUUUUUCUGUAAAAAUGUAAUUGCAAAAACAUUACAUUUGCAGGAAGCCAUGCUUAACUUAAGACUUUAAGAAUAGGGACUGUAUCCACUUAAAACACUACUGUUUCUGUCAUUGUGAUGUGCUUUAUAAAUGCGUGUUUUAAAAGCUUCAAAUUUAUUUGUGAACUGACUACCAAAAAAAUACAGAAAUAUAUGAUAAAAGUAUGUGUUUGUAAUGACAUAAGUAAAUGACAAUUUAUAUAUAUGUAAUAAAUCUUAAAACAGUUGUGCUACAACUUCAUAGCACACAAAAUUGUCUGUUUUAAAAGACUAAUAAAAUAUGCUUCUAUACCAUUCUAGGCAUGUUAAAUAUUCAUAUAACUUCCCUUUAAACGAUUCAGAAUAAUUCCAACAUUUGUGUUAAGGCCUCAUACUAAUAAAAAAGACAAAGCAUGCAUGUAAAUACGCAUUCAGUGCCAACAAAAAUAAACCGUUUGCUGAGACCAUCACAUUCUAGCAGAAGUAAAAUAGACACUUCUUCUGCAAGCAAUUAUUUAUAUACACCUUUUUAAAAAGGUUCUUCUGCAUUUCACAACUGCCCUUAAAACUCACAUUGAGUAGUUUAUAAUAAAAAAAUAAUAAAAGUAAUGCUGUUAGAUUGUUGGAAGACCUAACAUCUUUGUAUUCGUGCACUAAACAUGCAUUUUUUUGCAAAAUAUAAAAAACCCAUUUCGAUUUUAAACUGACUCCUGAUGCACAAUGCACGCACGCAUGCAGCUGCAUAUACUAAUGCUACUCCACUAGACAAUACAGGCCACAGCGGCCUUUUCAUGGACUCGGCAAAAUGAAACCCCGUUUAUUUUGACGAUACUCCAGCCUUGCAGGGGCCAACAUUUAAUAACUUAAUCGUGUGAGUAAUUUAUGAUUUCCCUCAAAAACUAACUUAGUUUAGCGAUUGCCAAUCUAUUCACAUAUAUGCAGUUAGCAUGUUAGCUUAGCCGCGGGAUGUUUCAUGUGCACACUGAACUCCACACAAAAGCACUGGUGCUAGAGACAGAAAACAGGCUUUUAUAACAACAUAUUACCUGCUUUUCUUCGCGGUCUCGCAUGGAAUUCCCUUGAAGGGCUUGGUUUUCGGCUCAAAUUAAAGUUAAAGACGAGAUGACUGAGAUAAAUUGUGGUUUAUUCGGCCCGGGCAGAUGCUGCAGUCUUUCGCGCCGCUGCCGCCGCCGGUGGAUUUCGGCAACUCAUCCUGAGAAUCCGCACCAUGUGCCUUCAGCUGGAUUCACACAAACCACCGGGCGGUUUCUGUCGAGCCCAUGAACCUAUUCACGAUUUGCGCGGUUUAGACGGGAAGUUAUGUGAAUUCGGAUGGGAUACAGGGCAAAGAAGAGACUUUUUUUCCCUCGUCGAGGCUGUUCCAGAUACCAGCCCAGCCUGUUCAAAAUGGCGGACGCUCGCAAACGGAAAUGACAUAUAUUUUUGUGAAGUUCAAAAGGGGCCACGCUGAUGUCUGAGGCCUUUCAUCGACAUCACACAAUUCAGAAAGACGGCGCCGUCUGCGAAAGUUAAUGCAGAACUGAUACAGCAGCCCGCUGUCGAAGAAAUGGUGCUUCUGAGAGACUGAAAUGAAGAGGCAAAGGCAAACAUGAAGAGAUGAUCAUUUUACAUGGAGAUAUGCUGCGGUGAAACAGGACCAGUAUGGAGGACGUGGAAGCCCGUCUUUCCCAGCGCAGACACACAGGCUUUAGGCUUCAGGAGGCAUUAUCAGACCUGAGCAUCAUCAGGUCAGCACUUUUCCAUCAGGGCAUCAGAAACUCACAGUCUGUACCGUCGGCCAAUGAUGAGGAACUGACGAGGUCUGAGGUGACAUUUCACAGCUACAAGUGCAAACCACCAACAUUCAUCUUCACAUAAUGAGUCUGCAUUGUCUAGAUGCGUUUAGUAAAAGAUGACACAAUAUACAUAAACAAAUAGACAAACAAAGAGGAUCUAGUUUUUAUUUAAAUGCAGCUUAAUGUAUUCAAACACCAUAUAAAGGUCAUUGGUUUUAGUGCCAUUUAAAUUCAUGUGUUGAACUUAUUUCAUGUUGUUUUGUUUAAAAUAGGUAAAAACUAUGAUAACAAGUGAACAAUAAACUGUGAAGCAGAGAUGCCA
rnacentral:lncRNA from 1 species